UUGUCAACUCGGUGAACUUUCUCGAGAGAGCACCGGGCAGCUUCUCUCGCCUCUCUCCUUCCCCCUUGUCUCUCACUGGCCUCUGGGUCGCUUCCAAAAGGUUGCUUCCUUCGAGUUUUCCCUGUGAAGCUUCACCUUGGCGUGGUCCACACGGAAGGCAGAAUCAACCCCACUCACAGAUUCCCAAAGGGUCGAGUUUGGACAGUACUCCGGAGCAACGUUUUUGCUUUUGCUUUUUUUUUUCUUCAACUCCUAUCCAGUGGUUGAUCUAUCAACAUCCUGCAACUUUGGAAAUUUCACUUUAUGAUUCACAAGUACCUGGAAUCUGCAGAGGAUUUUUGCUGUUAGGAGGAAAGGUAACUGCUUCUCCACUUGAUGCCAUUUCUACUUACAAACGGUUUCAGGGGACCGCUCUGCUUUCGGACACUGAGGAAAACGCCGUGCCGUCUCGGUCUCAACCGCCGUCUCUCCUCCAAUAGGGAAGUCACUGUCUUCUGAUGAAGCCACGUUGACUUGCAGGUCUUGGAUGAUUCAAAAAAAAGAUCUUUCCAUCUCUGGACUUCCAGCUAGGCCUAAACAGAAAACAUGACCUUUUCAGAAAAGACGUUUAUUCAAGGUUUAAACCCAGUGGGUGGGCAUCAACAGAAUCAGGUGUGCUAACAGCACGCCCUGUGUCUGGAGAGGAUACCAGCCCUGCAAAUAAAGGAAGAACCCAGAAGACCAGAUCCGAAUCUCGAAGAGCCCUCGAGGAGCCAUGCUCCCAUCACUCCCUGCCGUCUCCGCUGCCUUCUUAGGAGUUUGAAUUAUGAGGUUAAGUACUUGAAUCAACCAUACUUUUCAGUGAUCUUCCAGUGGAAACCCUUCUGGACCGAAUACCACCAAAGGGAGCCUCUGUGCCUGGGUUGGUGGUGAAGGGUCAUGGAGUUGCCGUUUUUAGACACCCAGAGUCAGCUUCCCAAGUCCACGGGGCACCCCAUGCUUUGCUUCUUGUUGCCUUUCCAGUUGGGUGCUUCCCUGAAGGAUACCUAGUAGCUUGCACCUGACCUGAAUACCAGUCACAGCAGCCUCCUCAGCUAGAGCCGUUCUUAACGUAUCCAUCCGUCCAACACAUAUUUCCUGAGCUCCUACUGUGUGCGGUGCUGCAGCGAUGUGGUCAACAACAGUCCUGUCUCUGCUUUCAGGACAUUCACAGUGCAGUAGAGGGGAAAAGACAGUGUUUAAAGGACCAAGGAUGAAAUUCAAAUUGAUGCAGAUUGAAUUCCCCUCGGAAAACUUCCCUCUGGCUCCAGAGAAUGGACUAGGGGCUGGGGGAGGGGCGCCACUCUCUGCCACCUGCUACCAUUCUGUGUGACACCGCUAGCACUCAGUCACCCUCUUUUUUAAUUUCCUGCAAGCACCGCACACACGUGCCCUGAAAGGCCUGCGUUUGUUUUCUUUUCCCCCCGGUGGCCAGUCUGCCUUUACAACACACAAUGGAAGCUUCAUGUAGGGAGGCACUUCCUCCAGUUUGCAGAAUUCCUGGAACCAAGAGGGAGCCCUGUCUUCUUUGUUGAGCCCAUGAGGGACUUGUCCCUUAAACUCCAGUAAGGCAGGAAUGCUAGAAGCACCUGGGAGAAGGCACGUGGGAAUUCCGAGAGGCAGUGGGAGGCCCCUGUACCUGGUGGGAAAGCCCUGCUGGCCUGAGCUGUUGUCACUCAAGGGGCUCCGGUCUGCUCCCUAGGAAUCCCUGGGGGAUUUGGAAAGAAGACCUUUCUUUGUUGUCGUAAUUUAAUUGCUGGUUAGCACUUCCAUCCAAGUUCAGCGAUAACUUCUGGAAUUUGCACCUGAAGAACUUUUUUCUUCNCUCCCCCCCCCCCCCCACUGCUCUCUUCCCAGAAAUGGGUGCCUGGCCGAAAACCCAUGUACUUAGCAGUUGGCUGUGGCAGCACAUGAGUAAUCUCCCACCUUCAUCAAGGAAGGAAGAAAUGGAAAACUUGAUCCCCAGGUGGCUUCGCAGGAACUGGAAAAAAAAAAAAAAAAAAAAAAAA
rnacentral:lncRNA from 1 species